UGGGGAAUUUUGGACAAUGGGCGAAAGCCUGAUCCAGCAAUGCCGCGUGUGUGAAGAAGGCCUUCGGGUUGUAAAGCACUUUUGUCCGGAAAGAAAUCCUUGGCUCUAAUACAGUCGGGGGAUGACGGUACCGGAAGAAUAAGCACCGGCUAACUACGUGCCAGCAGCCGCGGUAAUACGUAGGGUGCAAGCGUUAAUCGGAAUUACUGGGCGUAAAGCGUGCGCAGGCGGUUUGCUAAGACCGAUGUGAAAUCCCCGGGCUCAACCUGGGAACUGCAUUGGUGACUGGCAGGCUAGAGUAUGGCAGAGGGGGGUAGAAUUCCAGUGUAGGCAGUGAAAUGCGGUAGAGAUGUGGAGGAAUACCGAUGGCGAAGGCAGCCCCCUGGGCCAAUACUGACGCUCAUGCACGAAAGCGUGGGGGAGCAAACAGGAUUAGAUACCCUGGUAGUCCACGCCCUAAACGAUGUCAACUAGUUGUUGGGGAUUCAUUUCCUUAGUAACGUAGCUAACGCGUGAAGUUGACCGCCUGGGGAGUACGGUCGCAAGAUUAAAACUCAAAUGAAUUGACGGGGUCAUAGCUGUUUCCU
rnacentral:rRNA from 1 species